CCCCAGACUCCUACGGGAGGCAGCAGUGAGGAAUAUUGGUCAAUGGGCGCGAGCCUGAACCAGCCAAGUCGCGUGAGGGAUGACGGCCCUACGGGUUGUAAACCUCUUUUGUCGGGGAGCAAAAGACGCCACGCGUGGCGUUCCGAGAGUACCCGAAGAAAAAGCAUCGGCUAACUCCGUGCCAGCAGCCGCGGUAAUACGGAGGAUGCGAGCGUUAUCCGGAUUUAUUGGGUUUAAAGGGUGCGCAGGCGGAAUGUCAAGUCAGCGGUAAAAUUUCGGGGCUCAACCCCGUCGUGCCGUUGAAACUGGCGUUCUUGAGUGAGCGAGAAGUAUGCGGAAUGCGUGGUGUAGCGGUGAAAUGCAUAGAUAUCACGCAGAACUCCGAUUGCGAAGGCAGCAUACCGGCGCUCAACUGACGCUCAUGCACGAAAGCGUGGGUAUCGAACAGGAUUAGAUACCCGGGUAAG
rnacentral:rRNA from 1 species